AUUGAACGCCGGCGGCAUGCCUUACACAUGCAAGUCGAACGGUAACAGGUCUUCGGAUGCUGACGAGUGGCGAACGGGUGAGUAAUACAUCGGAACGUGCCUAGUAGUGGGGGAUAACUACUCGAAAGAGUGGCUAAUACAGCAUGAGAUCUACGGAUGAAAGCAGGGGAUCGCAAGAACUUGUGCUACUAGAGCGGCCGAUGGCAGAUUAGGUAGUUGGUGGGAUAAAAGCUUACCAAGCCGACGAUCUGUAGCUGGUCUGAGAGGACGAUCAGCCACACUGGGACUGAGACACGGCCCAGACUCCUACGGGAGGAAGCAGUGGGGAAUUUUGGACAAUGGGCGCAAGCCUGAUCCAGCAAUGCCGCGUGCAGAAUGAAGGCCUUCGGGUUGUAAGCUGCUUUUGUACGGAACGAAAAGCCCUGGGUUAAUACCCUGGGGUCAUGACGGUACCGUAAGAAUAAGCACCGGCUAACUACGUGCCAGCAGCCGCCGUAA
rnacentral:rRNA from 1 species